rnacentral:ncRNA from 1 species
UUGAUAGAGGCGCAAAAAUGAUCAGUACCGUUUGUAGGUUGCCAGAGCCAAAGAUCUUAUGGGAAAGGCAUUUUUGCCGAAGUAUAUUUUUUUGGCAAAAAAUAUGCUGGGCAUUUCGGAAACACCGGGAUGACUGUCGCGAGAGCGGAGUGCUAUCGU